UAGGCACAAUCCUUGUUUCAGCUUAAAUGUUUUCCCCAACAUGCCACUCAGAUAACACAAGGUAGAGCCAUGGUUUGAACAGAAAUGUCUUCCUUCAAAGUUUCAGCUCUUGUCCUUUCUUCCACCCACCCCCAUCCCACCUACUCAUAUGACUAUGUGUUGCAUGAAAGCACAUACGUGUGCAUAUAGAAAAAAGAUUCAGAUGGGGAGGGGAAUAUAGCUGGAGAAGUAUAGAUUGAUUAUGGAUUGGUGACUGGUGAAAAGUAUUUCUGCCAGAAGCCCCCACACUACAAAAUGUAAUCCUAUUAAUGUGUGUCAUCUAAAAACAUAUAUUGUAUCCUAGCUGUAAGAAUUUCUAUUUAAUGGGCUACAAAGACAAAUUUUGGAGAUCCUAAGCAAUUUGAGUCUCUUAUUCUUCUAGUAUAAUCAAACAGUGAUCCACUUUCUUGGCCUUCCCCCAGAAUCCUUGCUCCCAUGGCAAGUUUUUCAGCCCAACUGGUGGAAAUUGUUUUGUCCUGAUUGAGAGGUAUUAAAGAAAAAAUAUCUACCCCAGCACCUUAGUUUUCUAAAUCACUUGUCUUUGCUUGUUUCCUAGCAGCAUGAAAUACUAGUCUGGAGAAAUAGAUUUAGAAUUAGUUUCAAUUGCCAUUUAUUGAUCACAGGUACUAUGCAUACAAUUUUCAUAAAUGGUCACAUUUGAUUUUGAUUCUCAUCAAAAUGAUUUCUAUUUAGCAAUGAAGAACUGAGGGUCUAAUGGAUUAGGAGACUUGCUCAAUGUACCCUGUUAGUAAGGGGACAGAAUAGGAACUGGAGCUGGGCUCUGCAGAAUUCAUGGCCUGGCUCUUUCCACAGUAUUCACAUUCUCUCCAGGCAGAAGAUACGAUCUGCCUAAAUACUUGCUUUCCAGGCCAUCCACUAGUUCUGCUGUAUCCUGGGAACCUGCAGGACCAGCCAAGCCCAGGACAGGGCCGCCUGGGGCCAGGGCAGGUAGACUUACCUGGAAGAGCACCAGCCUGGCUAUCAGCAUAUCCACUUUCUUCCCAUUUCCUUUUGCAGCCUCCUUCCUUGGUUCACAAUGACAGUCCAACUUCUGCCAGUCCUGACUGUCAUUCAAGCCUUUUUGCUAUUUAAGAAUUUUGAGGAAGAAAACCGUCAUGUACUCAAAAUCCUGGUAAUCAGAAGUGUCUGGAGAUUUCGAGCUGUUAACAUAGAGAGGUGGCAAAAUUAUUUUCUGGGAUAUCCUUAUGGGCCUGAAUGGCAGCGGGAGUCGACAUAGCUGGUGCCUGGGCAGGUUUCCAAAGCACAGCCGAGGUGGAGAGUAGGUGAGGGCUGCAACAAAGGUCCCGACAUCUGAAGAGCACUGCACAGUUUGUCAGAGGAUUUCAGCUCCACACUCUCACUUAGUCCUCACAGCAACCCCAUGCAGUGACUGCUGUCACUUCUUUUCAUGGCUGAGAAGACUGUUGGGAGAGGAAAAAUGAAUUGCCCACUGGCAGGCAGAUUCAUAAUCCACUUAGGAAAAAGGAGGGGGGAUGCACGGAGUUAGCACAUAUUAAGUGCCUGCUGUAGUCAAGCCCUGUUGGACACCAGGGACAUCUGGACCUUGACAACGGAGCGAAGGGGUGGUCCUGCCUGCACCAGGUUUCAGUGGCUUCUCAGGCUUCUCUGCAGCAUGGGUGUUCCUGCCUUGGCCAGAGCCGAAAUCCCAGAGCAGUGAAAGAGGAGCCAGUGUCAUGGGGCUUCUGGUU
ensembl:lncRNA NAMA non-protein coding RNA, associated with MAP kinase pathway and growth arrest